UACGAAGGGGGCGAGCGUUGUUCGGAUUUACUGGGCGUAAAGGGCGCGCAGGCGGCUCCUUUUGUCAGGCGUGAAAGCCCCGGGCUUAACCUGGGAACUGCGUUUGAUACGGAUGGGCUAGAGUUCGGGAGAGGAGAGCGGAAUUCCCAGUGUAGAGGUGAAAUUCGUAGAUAUUGGGAGGAACACCAGUGGCGAAGGCGGCUCACUGGACCGGAACUGACGCUGAGGCGCGAAAGCCAGGGGAGCAAACGGG
rnacentral:rRNA from 1 species